AUCCCCCCGGGGGGGCUCCUUGCCACGGCCCCAGCCCGCUCUGGGGGGCGUUGUGUUUGACCUGGGGGCCUUUUCUGCCCUUGCAGUGAUCCGGGGGGACCCGGGGGGAGGUUUAAGGUUGGCUGUGCUGACAGGCAGAGCAACUGCUAACACCAACAACCCUCGAGGUGAAGAACCUCGAGCUCUCGGCUUUUUAUCUUGCCCUUCCCUGGGUGUGAGCCUGGGAGCUCGCCCGUCGUUAGUGCUGGUGGUGGCGCUCCUUGCUGCUCUCCUUGCCACCUCCUAAUGAAGCAGGAGCUCCUGGAAGGCCUCCAGCUGGACGGAGAAGCCACGAGUGACAGCUCGAGCCACAGCAGAGCUCUCGCCAUCAUCAAGCCCGAUCCUCUGCUUGGAGGCAGGCUCAGCUCCCUCUGUCUCAUCCCGGUGGCUUUGGGAGUGGUUUCACGAGCCUCCAACAGCCCGGAUGCUGCGAGCUCCUCGGGGAAAUGCUUUUAGUGUGAGGGUGGCGGAGCAGUGGGGCUGGCUGCUGGAUGCCUAACCCAAACCCUCCUUCUGCCGUUCAGCCCCUCCCUGCCGGGGGCAUUACGGAGCGAUUUAUUCCUCUUUGAAGCAGGGAUGGAAUCAGCAGGCUGCAAAAGACCCAAAAGAUCACCAGGGUCAGCCAGCACCUAACACAAAUCCACCGCCAAACCCCAUCCCCACGCCCACACCUCUUGAUUUGCGUGCGUUAUAAAAGGGAUUCUAUCAAAGGGAAAUGCCUCAAACA